CAGCAGCCGCGGGAAUACGGAGGGUGCAAGCGUUAAUCGGAAUUACUGGGCGUAAAGCGUGCGUAGGCGGUUCGUUAAGUCUGUUGUGAAAGCCCCGGGCUCAACCUGGGAAUGGCAAUGGAUACUGGCGAGCUAGAGUGUGUCAGAGGAUGGUGGAAUUCCCGGUGUAGCGGUGAAAUGCGUAGAGAUCGGGAGGAACAUCAGUGGCGAAGGCGGCCAUCUGGGACAACACUGACGCUGAGGCACGAAAGCGUGGGGAGCAAACAGGAUUAGAUACCCCUGUAGUCCCUGUCUCUUAUAC
rnacentral:rRNA from 1 species